rnacentral:rRNA from 1 species
GUAGGGAAUCUUGCGCAAUGGGCGAAAGCCUGACGCAGCCAUGCCGCGUGAAUGAUGAAGGUCUUAGGAUUGUAAAAUUCUUUCACCGGGGACGAUAAUGACGGUACCCGGAGAAGAAGCCCCGGCUAACUUCGUGCCAGCAGCCGCGGUAAUACGAAGGGGGCUAGCGUUGCUCGGAAUUACUGGGCGUAAAGGGCGCGUAGGCGGACAGUUUAGUCAGAGGUGAAAGCCCAGGGCUCAACCUUGGAAUUGCCUUUGAUACUGGCUGUCUUGAGUACGGGAGAGGUGAGUGGAACUCCGAGUGUAGAGGUGAAAUUCGUAGAUAUUCGGAAGAACACCAGUGGCGAAGGCGACUCACUGGCCCGUUACUGACGCUGAGGCGCGAAAGCGUGGGGAGCAAACAGGAUUAGAAACCCCUGUAGUCC